GCUCAAAUUUGAAAUCUCAGCGCAAGCUGCGAAUUGUAGUUUAGAGAAACGUUUUCGGGGCCGGCGCCAGUACAAGUUCUUUGGAACAAGGCAUCACAGAGGGUGAAAAUCCCGUCUUUGACUGGCUGCUUGGUUCCAUGUGAUACGUUUUCCAAGAGUCGGUUUGUUUGGGAAUGCAGACCAAAAUGGGUGGUAAAUACCAUCUAAAGCUAAAUAUUGGCGAGAGACCGAUAGCGAACAAGUACCGUGAGGGAAAGAUGAAAAGAACUUUGAAAAGAGAGUUAAACAGUGCGUGAAAUUGUCAAAAGGGAAACGUUUAAAACCAGUAUUGCGGGCAGAAACUCAGGUUCCAUUUAUGGUGCUGUAUUUUUCUGUCGGCGAGUCAACAUCAGUUUUGCUUGGAGUAAAACGCCAGGGGAAGGUAGCCUUCGGGUGUUAUAGCCUCUGGUAAUUCUCUGGGCGGGACUGAGGACUGCAGCGUUCUUUGGGUUUACCACACCAACGCUUAGGAUGUUGACGAAAUGGUUUUAAGCGACCCGUCUUGAAACACGGACCAAGGAGUCUAACAUAUAUGCGAGUAUUUGGGUGGCAAACCCUUAUGCGUAAUGAAAGUGAAAAGGUGGGAUCCUUUGCUGGUGCACCAUCGACCGCGCCAGAUUAUUGCUAUCUCGGCGUGAGUAUGAGCAUACAUGUUGGGACCCGAAAGAUGGUGAACUAUGCCUGAAUAGGGUGAAGCCAGAGG
rnacentral:rRNA from 2 species